rnacentral:rRNA from 1 species
AGGAUGAACGCUAGCGGCAGGCCUAAUACAUGCAAGUCGAACGGUAGAUUCAGCUUCGGUUGGAUUGAGAGUGGCGGACGGGUGCGUAACGCGUAUGUAACCUACCCAUAACAAGGGGAUAGCCCGUGGAAACAUGGAUUAAUACCCUAUAAUAUUUUGGUACCACAUGGUAUUAUUAUUAAAGAUUCAUCGGUUAUGGAUGGGCAUGCGUAUGAUUAGUUAGUUGGUGGGGUAACGGCCCACCAAGGCGAUGAUCAUUAGGGGUUCUGAGAGGAUGAUCCCCCACACUGGCACUGAGAUACGGGCCAGACUCCUACGGGAGGCAGCAGUAGGGAAUAUUGGUCAAUGGACGCAAGUCUGAACCAGCCAUGCCGCGUGCAGGAAGACAGCCUUCUGGGUUGUAAACUGCUUUUGACAGGGAAGAAAGAGUCUCUUGCGAGAGAUAUUGACGGUACCUGUAGAAUAAGCACCGGCUAACUCCGUGCCAGCAGCCGCGGUAAUACGGAGGGUGCAAGCGUUGUCCGGAUUUAUUGGGUUUAAAGGGUGCGUAGGCGGACUUUUAAGUCAGUGGUGAAAUGCUUCAGCUCAACUGGAGACGUGCCAUUGAAACUGAAAGUCUUGAGUGAAGUCGAGGUAGGCGGAAUUGAUGGUGUAGCGGUGAAAUGCAUAGAUAUCAUCAAGAACACCGAUAGCGUAGGCAGCUUACUAGACUUCAACUGACGCUGAUGCACGAAAGCGUGGGGAGCGAACAGGAUUAGAUACCCUGGUAGUCCACGCCGUAAACGAUGCUCACUCGCUGUUGGUACGAUAUAGUAUCAGCGGCCAAGCGAAAGCGUUAAGUGAGCCACCUGGGGAGUACGCUGGCAACAGUG